UAGAAUGGCUAAAUACCAUAAAAGUACCAGAUCCUAUCUGACCUUGGAAGCUAAGUAAGGUCAGCCUAAUUGGUACUUGGAUAUAACAUCACCAAUGAAUGUCAGGUGCUGUAGGCU
rnacentral:rRNA from 1 species